rnacentral:lncRNA from 1 species
UUCCAUCAAAUUCUGCAGCCCCUCACGGUUUCUUCAGCCCACGCCCACGCCCACGAUCAUUUUCUUUUUUUUAAUCAUCUGCCACAUACCACCGUCUCUCUCCUCAAAUUCUCUCCACUCACUCUCUUCCUCACGGCCACAGAAACCCACGGAUGAAGCCUCCACGGAGUCAAACUCCCUUGGCCUAUUUUGGUUGUUGACUUCUCUUGCCAAACGGCUUCAAUCCACCGAAGUGAAGCCAGCAACUCCGUGUGCGUCAGCCCAUCUUUCCCCCACCGAGCAAGCUCAGUCUACGCCAGCUUCCUUGCCGCUUUCGCUGCCACCGGAGAUCAACGAAGCUGAUCUCCCUCUUUCGCUCAUGUCUUCACCCAGCGUCUUCAGCCACGUGAGCAGCAGCAGCCCACGCAAAUUCUCGGGCCCAGCUUUGGCCGUAGACUCCAGCACGUUCGGCCCAAUUGAAGUCCAUCAACAGCCCAUCUCAGCCCGUAAAUUUCAGUCCAGAAUGUUUCGCAGCAGCCCAGCCCAGAUUUAAAGCCCAUCCUCGGCCCAAUUCCAGCUCACUUGAGGCCCACGUAGUCAAGCCCAGUUCCGAGCCCAAGCCCGCGAAGCAAGCCUAGUCCAAUGCAAUAACAAAUCUCAGUUUGGGCUGAUAUUUUUUGGGCCCGUUUUAGGCCCGGCCCGACUGUUCGCCAACGUCGCCGAAAAUUCAUAUUUCGGCCGCCGUCGCGCCACCGUCACAGUGAACCGGUUUCCGCAAUUAACCGGUGAGUUUUUUUACUAAACUCUUCUUAGUAGGCUAAUAACGUCUAAGGGGUGUUUAGAUUUAUUUAAUUAGGAAUUAUGUGGUUGGUUAGAUUAAUUUAGUGAUUUAAUUAUGCAAUUAUGCAUGUUAGGUGGUUAGAUUAGAUUAAGUGAGGCCUAGAUAAAUUGUGCUAUUUAUCUAGUAGGGUUCGAGAAUUUUCCGGGUCCAUAUUGGUAUUUAAUUUAGUGAUUUUGGCAUAGGUUGGCAUUUUACUAUUUAAAUUGAUUUAUUUAAUUAAUUUUAGAAAUUAUUUAAUUAUUAAUUAUUUUCCGAAAAUUAGUCCAAGAUAGCUGGUGACCGGAAUUUCGUACUGAUUGCAAUGGUGUGGUUAAUUUUUGCAAUUGAGUGAUAGUUUGUGCAAAUUGAGUGUUGAUUGGAAUUUUGAAUAUUUAAUUUCAAAAAUUGUGAAUUUCAUUAUUUAUUCAGAAAAUUCCGGGUGUUGGGUUUUAAACACCGAAAAUGGUUUUAUAUACUAUAUAUAUAUUAGUGGGAUUUUGAAAAGAAGGUUAUGAAUUUUCUGGGUCCAAUCUGACCGUGUACCAACGCACGACUAUUAUUACUGAAUUUUUUUAAUACGAAGGAAACAUGCCAAGAUCACUAUUUUAAUGGAGGCAUUUGAGUGCAAUGCACAUUGUCCUAGGCCGAGAUUGAGUGGUCGUGUGUUGGAUAAGAGAACCUGUCUCGAACAAUUAUGCCGGAUGUUACUAAAUCCCUUUUCGGGUUACCCAUGCAUUAGGGUAGUGGGUCGCAAUAAAUUCUGGACCUACACCCCUUCGGAGAAGCCGUCUAAUUGAGAGACGUCGCCAUGCUCAAAGGAGGUGAGACGACACCUGGCAAUGCCAGAAGACCGCCAAUUUUGGAGUUGGCCGUACCCUUGAGGGGUGUAAUUAACAAUUGAAACGCAUGAUUGUUGAGUUUGAUGCACCCGAUUAUGAGACCAAAACUGUGUGACAUGGAAUAGAAUGUGUUAUAACGGUUUAGUCUUAUAAUCAGGACCCUGGUGAUUAGUUGAAUUGAUGAGGUGUUCCAGUUGUUAUGUGCAUUGAUUAUAUGCAUUGCAAUAUGAAUUGUACUGACAUGUAGAAAGGAAACUAAGGCGAGGUAAGUCCUCUAUGCCAAUUGUGUGGUUGUGUGGCUAGAGCACCCUAAAGCGUAUUUCCCUCAUAAUAUGAGUUUAGUAGGUAGACUUGCUGAGACAUUAUUUCACUGGUUAUUGAAUAACCAUUCUCAGGUCCUUAGAAGGUGGUCGUGGAAGACCAAGGUCUCAAAGUCUGAGGAGGAGGAGUAUGGAGGAUCGGUGGAUAUGUCUUAUCAGUAUGUCGUAGGACAACCUCUUGUGAGAGUCGACCUUUUUGUAGGCUUUCAUCUAAACUCGUUUUGUACCUGAAUCUCGUUGUUUGUAAAAGUGUGCUUUUAUGACUUGAUAUCCUACUUUCUUAUCCCGAGAUAUUUUUGUCAAGGGAUUUAUUUUUGCUUCCGCAUGUGCUUAAAAAUCAAUGAGUCGGCGACUCGUCCUAGGAAGUUGCAAAAUUUUAUCGACCAGAGGGCAUACGCUCGAGGAUCGGGGCGUGACAUCAAUUGAGCUUGUAGAGUUAGGAAGGUUUGACUAGUCGAUGGGCGAGAGGGGGAGGUUAAAAUAAUGGAGCUAGAGAGCACCCUUCUCCUCUGCCACGCGGUUGUUGUUCGUCAUUAUGGAGGAGCGAGAGAUUAUAUCAUAGCAAUUUCUCUUGGAUUUAGCAAUCUAACUAAGAGACAAUAUACUUAGAUAGUAUUGAUCAUUCUUUGAUUUAAAGAAUCAUCGCAUUUCAAUUGAAAAUGUAAAUACUUUUUGAGGUGAAAAUCAAGCUCCACUUCCAUGGUGCUUUUAUAUUAUUUUUUCUUUCUAUGUUUUUUUCAUGUCAAAGUAAUGCCCGAGUUUGAUCAUUGGGUUUUUAACAUUCAUAAUUCAAGAUUUUGAUUUAGAGUAUCAAUUUCCAUUUGUAAAAUAAUUGUGAAUUCUCAAUGACUAUCGCAAUACGUUCGCGUUGAGUAGUCCAAUUCAAGAUAGAGUAAGGUUAGGCGCAAUAAAAUUUGAAAUCCGUUGGUAAUUUAAACUCUGAUCGAUUGCUUUAUUUAACAUACAACAAGUCAUAAGUUACUAAUAAUCUCGGGAGUAUCAACAGUUAUUCAGCCAGUAACGUUUCAUUAGUUCCAGCAAUCUUGUGUAAGUACCGGCAGUUAUCAAUUGUCCAAAGUUAUCAGCUAUUUCUAUAACUUAUAAUUAUUUACAUGCAUGGUUCAUCUAUAUAUCGAGUUAAGCAAUUAAAUGGAAAAUCAACACAGGAUUACCUACUUGGAAAUCCCUCUCAAAGCCUUCGACGUACCACAGCCUCUUAUCAAGCAGCAGCUUCUUUUCCUGCUUCAGGACGUGUAGCUAUAACUUUUCUACCAUAUAUAAUUUACUCUAUUCAAAAUGUUACGAACAAUAUUCAGAAAUGAAAUUUCCCUGUCAUUAUUUUACAUCGGGGGAGACUGUAAUUCAGGACAGGACAAUCCCAUUCUAUCGCCAAAAUCAUGAGAGAAGCAAAAUUAAAGGGCGCGAUACUCAUGAAGUAAACUGAUGAGAGAUUGAAGUACUAAUUAAUGUCUUGAAUGUUCACUGUAGUGCUCAAAAUGUCC